rnacentral:rRNA from 1 species
CCUACGGGAGGCUGCAGUGAGGAAUAUUGGUCAAUGGCCGCAAGGCUGAACCAGCCAAGUCGCGUGAAGGAAGACGGAUCUAUGGGUUGUAAACUUCUUUUAUAGGGGAAUAAAGGUAUCUACGUGUGGCUAUUUGCAAGUACCCUAUGAAUAAGCAUCGGCUAACUCCGUGCCAGCAGCCGCGGUAAUACGGAGGAUGCGAGCGUUAUCCGGAUUUAUUGGGUUUAAAGGGUGCGUAGGCGGUUGUUUAAGUCAGUGGUGAAAGUUCGGGGCUCAACCAUGUAAGUGCCGUUGAAACUGGACGACGUGAGUGUGUGUGAGGUAGGCGGAAUGCGUGGUGUAGCGGUGAAAUGCAUAGAUAUCACGCAGAACUCCGAUUGCGAAGGCAGCUUACUAAGCCAUAACUGACGCUGAAGCACGAAAGCGUGGGGAUCAAACAGGAUUAGAUACCCGUGUAGUC